AGGAUAAUAGUUAAAAUUAACAUUUAAGUUGCAUUUAAAAAAUAUUGGACUUCCAAUUUAUCUUA
rnacentral:tRNA from 1 species